rnacentral:lncRNA from 1 species
UCUUUGUUGGCUGUGGGAUCUUCUGGAAACAAAGCACAGAGCAAGGCUGAAGGAGCAAGACCUCCACAGUGCAGCUAAACAGCCAAAUGAGUCUCCCGCAAGUCAGGAAAACUGGAUAAAAAGAGGCCUAAAUGUGAGCAAGAGCUAUCAUGUUUGGCUUCAAUGUCUACUAUGUGCCGAGGAUAUAGAGGAACAAAACAGACCCGUCUCAUUCUCGUGGUGGAGUUGGGAUGAUGGAGCUAAUACAAUGACCCCUACCUUCAAAAACUCAGUGCUGCUCCCCUGGAUAGAGAUCCGCUACAUCCUACCUUCUCUGUGACGACUUUGAAAAGUGUCCAUGAAUUCUUUGACACUCUUUUCAAAAGGUGGAGCCUAAUUUCCCGUCCCUUAAGUGUGGACUGAUGAUUUGCUUCUAAAGAACAGAAUAAGGUGGAAUGGAUGGUAGGUGACUUCUAAGGCUAGGUCCUAAAAAGCACUGUGUGCUUUGUUCUCUCUUGGGUCUCUCAGUCUGGGAGAAACCAGCUACCCUGUUGUAAGGACAGUCAAGCAGCCCUGUGGAGAGUCCAUGUGGCAAGGAACUGAGGCUUCCUGUGAAAAUCCAGGAAGGAACUGAAGCCUUCUGCCAACAGCCAUGUGAACGAGCCAUCUUGGAGGCAGAUCCUGCAGCCUGGCUAAUGUCUUGAUGGCAACUUAACAAGAUACCUUAAGCCAGAACCAUCUAGCUAAUACACUCUUGAAUUCCUAUUACAAACACUGGGAAAUAAUCAAUGUUUGUUGUUUUAAGCUGCUAAACUUUGAUAUUAUUUAUUUUAUUCAUUUAUUUUUUG